rnacentral:rRNA from 1 species
AAAGUCAAUUAUGAAUGUAAUUGAUCUGACUGCCGUGCGUGAUGGUAUUCUCUCAUGUGUUUGAUGGACUUUAUUUGUAACCAAACGCUCGAUGUUUUUUUACAUCUGUGGCGUCAAUGUUAGCCUCCCAUCCGACCCGUCUUGAAACACGGACCAAGGAGUUCAGUAGGCACGCGAGUCGUUGACGUUGUGCAUUGAACAGUCGAAGGCGUAAUGAAAGUGUGCAAGAAAGUGAAUUGUACAUUUUUUUGUACUGUUUGCUUUCAGCAUGAUCGUCCUUUGUUUUGUUUGGGUGCUGCUUGAAUUUUUUCGGGCCACCUUUCUUAAUUUGGGGACGCGCAGUGUGGUGCCGUUGAAUAGUCGCACUGUUUCUCCUUCUCUUCGGGGUUGGAGGGACAAUUGUCGAUCAGUCGGUUUCGGAGCGUGCACACUGGUACCCGAAAGAAGGAAACUCUGGUGGAAGUUCGUAGCGGUGUUGACGUGCAAAUCACUCGUCUGACUUGAGUGUAGGGGCGAAAGACUAAUCGAACCAUCUAGUUGCUGGUUCCUUCCGAAGUUUCCCUCAGGAUAGCUGGCAUUUGUGUGUAACAAUUUUAUCCGGUAGAGCGAAUGAUUAGAGGUGUUGGGAACGCAAUGUUCUCAGCCUAUUCUCAAACUUCGAAUGGGUAAGCAAGGCGAUUUGCUUUGAUCUUUUUAUGAAAUCGCCCCUCCAAUUUGUUGAAGAAUGUAUAAAUGCCUAGUGGGCCAAUUUUGGUAAGCAGAACUGGCGAUGUGGAAUGAACCAAAAGUCAGGUUAAGGUGCCAGACAUUGGCGCUCAUGAAAUACCAGAAAAGGUGUUGGUCGAUAUAGACAGCAGGACGGUGGCCAUGGAAGUCGGAAUCCGCCAAGGAGUGUGUAACAACUCACCUGCCGAAUCGACUAGCCCUGAAAAUGGAUAGCGUUUGAGCGCCAGGCCCAUACCUGACCGUCUCAGCUACGCACUUUUGCUGGUUUCUCCGGUGAAGGUGUAAUGAACGUUGAGACGGGUAGGAAGGUCGCGACAGUGUUGCUUUGAAGAGUUUUGAGCGUGAGCUCGCUCGGAGCCGCUGUUGGUGCAGAUCUUGGUGGUAGUAGCAAAUAUUCAAGUGAGAACCUUGAAGGCUGAAGUGGAGCAAGGUUCCAUGUGAACAGCAGUUGGACAUGGGUCAGUCGAUCCUAAGAAAACGGCGAAAGCUUGUUCGAAUUUACGACAUAAAAUUUAAAACUGUGUAUGCAAAAGAAAGUAGUGUAGUGUUGGUAGCAGCAGCAGCAGUUGUGGUAGUGGUGGUGGUGGUGGUGGUGGUGGUGUGCCGCCGCCGCCGCCGCCGAAACUACUUUUUGCUGCUGUUGCGUUGCUACAAUCUUGGUGUUUUUGUUCUGUGCAGUUGUCGUAUGUUUUCGAAAGGGAAUCCGGUUGAUAUUCCGGAACCGAGUAACGGAGACAAAGAGUAGCGCUUUAAUCUCUUUCGGGUUGGCGUUCAACUCAAUCGCGCGGUAACGCAAGCGAACUCGGAAAAUGACCGUCGUGAGUUUCGAAAAGAGUUUUCUUUUCUUUUUAAGGGACGCAUUCCCUGGAACCGGGUUGUCCGGAGAUAGGGAUUCUGGUAUCCAUAAAACGCCGACUCUUUCACGGUGUUCGGAGCGCUCUCGUCGGUACGUGAAAAUCCGAGCGACGCCUGGUAAAUCUCGUACUUGGUCGUACUGAUAUCCGCAGCAGGUCUCCAAGGUGAAUAGCCUCUGGCCGAUAGAAUAAUGUAGGUAAGGGAAGUCGGCAAAACGGAUCCGUAACUUCGGAACAAGGAUUGGCUCUAAGGGCUGGGCCGAUCGGGCUGAGGUUUCAAGCGUGCAGUGUAUGCUUGGCUGAGUUGUGUUGAGGAUUGAUUCGCUUGGUGCCGUUUGUUGAACCAAUCGGCUAUCCAGGUGGUCAUGUCUGAAGCAAAGCUGGCCGACAGACCGGCACGUGCAGAACCUGAGCUGCGCGGCUGUCAGUUCAUUUGUACAGACCGUUUCGGUCGGCAUUCAACAGCCAACUUAGAACUGGCACGGACACAAGGAAUCUGACUGUAUAAUUAAAACAAAGCAUUGCGAUGGCCGAUGAUCGGUGUUGACGCAAUGUGAUUUCUGCCCAGUGCUCUGAAUGUCAAAGUAGCCAAAUGCCUAGUCAUUUAAUUAGUGACGCGUAUGAAUGGAUCAACAAGAUUCCUUCUGUCCCUAUCUACUAUCUAGCGAAACCACAGCCAAGGGAACGGGCUUGGCAAAAUCAGCGGGGAAAGAAGACCCUGUUGAGCUUGACUCUAGUCUGACUCUGUGAAGAGACAUGAAAGGUGUAGCAUAGGUGGGAGGCUGCAGUAGGGCGCUGUUUGGUGUCUUUGUGGUCGCCAGUGAAAUACCACCACUACGGUACAGUUGAACAACUACGCAAAAGCGUUUCGGCCUGUUGCCAAUGGAACUUCCGAAUCUUACAAGCCCUCCAGUUGCUGGUGAAUCUUACAGCCUCCAG